rnacentral:rRNA from 1 species
AGUGAACGCUGGCGGUAGGCCUAACACAUGCAAGUCGAACGGCAGCACAGUAAGAGCUUGCUCUUACGGGUGGCGAGUGGCGGACGGGUGAGGAAUACAUCGGAAUCUACUUUUUCGUGGGGGUUAACGUAGGGAAACUUACGAUACUACCGCUUACGACCUACGGGUGAAAGCAGGGGAAUUUCGCACCUUGCGCGAUUGCAUGAGCCGAUGUCGGAUUAGCUAGUUGGCGGGGUAAAGGCCCACCAAGGCGACGAUCCGUAGCUGGUCUGAGAGGAUGAUCAGCCACACUGGAACUGAGACACGGUCCAGACUCCUACAGGAGGCAGCAGUGGGGAAUAUUGGACAAUGGGCGCAAGCCUGAUCCAGCCAUACCGCGUGGGUGAAGAAGGCCUUCGGGUUGUAAAGCCCUUUUGUUGGGAAAGAAAAGCAGCAGGUUAAUACCCCGCUGUUCUGACGGUACCCAAAGAAUAAGCACCGGCUAACUUCGUG